rnacentral:rRNA from 1 species
UACGGGGGGGGGCAAGCGUUGUUCGGAAUUACUGGGCGUAAAGGGCUCGUAGGCGGCCAACUAAGUCAGACGUGAAAUCCCUCGGCUUGACCGGGGAACUGCGUCUGAUACUGGAUGGCUUGAGUUUGGGAGAGGGAUGCGGAAUUCCAGGUGUAGCGGUGAAAUGCGUAGAUAUCUGGAGGAACACCGGUGGCGAAGGCGGCAUCCUGGACCAACACUGACGCUGAGUGAGCGAAAGCCAGGGGAGCAAACGGG